rnacentral:lncRNA from 1 species
GAAUUUGUUCUAUCCUCAAUCUAACCAUUCUGGGCAAAGAAAACACAGACAUCAAGUAAAUGGGCAUGCUCGCCAAAGUGCUCUGAAUCAAGGUGAUCCUCCUUUGGAGAUGUAUUGGCUCUUCCACCUAGCCAAUUUCUUCUUAAAUCUCUCCUCGACUCCAUCCCAAACAACCAUGUAUCUAUGAGGAGCACCUAAAAGCAAUCCUAGGUAAGAGAAUGGGAGACUCCCAACCUUACACCCAAGAUCUGCAACCAAAGCCUCCACGUUUUCCACACCACCUACCAGGAUUAACUCACUUUUAUCCAAAUUAACUCUCAAUCCCAAAAUGGCCUCAAACCACAUUAGAAUCCAACUUCAAUACAUCAUCUCAUCCUGAGAAGCCCCACAAAAAACCAAAGUAUCAUCAAUGAAUAAUAAAUGAGACACUUGAACCCCUUCACCACCUCUACCCCUCGCCUUGCAAGCUACCAAAAAACCUCCAUUUACAACUUUCUUAAGAAGGCAACUAAGAGCCUCCAUAGCAAUCACCAAUAAGUACGGUGAGAGGGGGUCCCCUUGCCUUAAACCCCUAGACUCUGGAAGAAACUUGAAGAUGUCCCAUUAACCAUAACAGAAAGGCUAGCUGUGGAGAUAUACCACCGCAUCCACCGAAGCCAUUUCAAGAUGGAGAAAUUCUUAUAUUGCUAACAUUGUCCUUAAAUACAAUUAUUCUUUUACCUAGAUCUUUAAUUUUCAAAAGAAUCUUAAUGACUAAGAAACUACAGACAUCACCUCCCUUCUCCAUACUUUAUAUACAUAUUUCCUAUCUAAUUCAAACUUUUGUCAAAUAUAUAAAACCUUGAAUAAAGGCAGUGUUUUACAUUCUAGACCUUUCUUCCAACUCCUCUCUGGCUAAAUUAACUUGGUAAAACAAAGCCCUUGUAAGUUCAAAGCCUUUGCUUGGUUCAUACUUAGUAUCCCCCCCGAAGCUCAAACCAAUAAUAGUUUUCAACUUCAUAAACUUUAUAAGAAGUCCAGACAAACAUGUAUUAUGUUUGCUGAGUGAAGAAUCAGUUGGAUCUUCAUUGCUAUAUCUUUAGAGUUGCAGAUAUGCAUCUUCUUUCUUUAGAAGGUCAUUUUUAUUUUUCUGAUUUUUUUUUUUUUUUUUUUUUUUGUCUCUUUUUGGUGACCACCCAAGACAUUUGUAGUUAUUUACUUCCUUUGAGAGCUUUGGUAGGGGGGAAGGGGGAUAGACUGCUGCCAGUGCAGAGGGUAGAACUAUGUGGCAGUGCUCCCUCCCUGCUUUGAUUUCACUCAUAUGGCUGAUUUUAAAAGAAUAAAAAUAAAUAAAUAACAUCAGAAUAUUUGAGGAUAAAAAGAAGCCUAGGGAUGAUAAGUAUAUAUCCUACCUUCUCUUAGAAUGAUUACAACCAAAGAAUUUCUUGGUUUUUUACAAAGCAUCAUCUCUCUGGAUUAGAAGCUCACAUGUUUAUAUAAGCAAAGAAAAGAGAAAAUCAGUUGUUUGUAAUUUGUUCUCCCAUCAUAGCUUUAUGCUAGACUUUCAUGGUUGCACUGCAUGCUUUCUCCAAUCUGAAUUUGAAUUGGAUUGGUAUUGAAGUCAAGCUCUUACCAAUCUUGGAAGGUUUACUUCAGCUUCUAGAUUGAGCAGCAAGAACUUUCCAGUGGAAGGGGAUUCCAUGGUGGUUAUUUCCCAGGUAGGAGGAUUCAUUCUUUAACAAGAUACAUUCUUGGAGGCAGAGUUCAUCUACUCAUGUUGCUGAACUGGGCCAAGAGGGGAGCAAGAUCUUGAGUUCUUUGAUGGGGGUUUUUACCCCUUGACUGUGUAGUUCAUUCCUUUGAAUAGUUUGUACUUAGGCUGAAGAUUCUCACCACCUCCUUAACUCCCCUCCCCCCCAACACAAAGACAAUUAUUUCCUGGCCAAGAUCAUCUAAUCAUGUGGCUGAAUUUGGCUAAAUGGGACGAAGAUCUUAGUUUUUUGUAGGGAAAUUUUAACUCCUUCCCUCUAAGCAAGGUAAUAGAGAUCAUGGUGGAUAGAAUUUCUUUAGAGAAAUUUCAUUUGGCAUGAUGUCAAUCAAGAGGGAGAUGUUGAAGAUGCUAACAUUAAGACAAGAGUGGCAGAUGCUGUCCAUAGGGCUCUAUUCAAGUCGGGGGAGUGGAAACCAAGUAUUAGGGGGAUACACCUCACCUUCACCUCCCUUUCCCACCCCUAAAAAGCCAAGGUAAGGGAGAUCAUGGUGGAUAGGGUUUCUUUUGAUUGAAAACAAUUACAGUGUGAAAUAUGAUUGAAAGGAUUUGAAGGGUUUCCUUUGAAGUGAUGCCUCAACAAAGAGGAAAAUUCACCUAGUUAAAUGGGACAAUUUGUUUGGAAGAGAAUAGAGAUGGUUUGGGUCUUUUAGAAGGCUCAUGAUGCUCAAUAAAGCUUUGUUAGGUAAAUGGCUCUCUUUCUCGUGGUGGAUAGAGUUUCUUUUGCAAUCUCAAUUAAGGUGUCAAAUAAACUUAAAUAGAUUCAAAGAUAUUUCCUUUCUUCCUCUCCCUAAGCAUCGUAGCAGAGACUAUGGUGGACAGAGUUUCUUUUGUGAUCCCAACUAAGUUGCGACAUAGACAUGAAAAGAAUUAGAGAGAUUUUCUUUGGGGUGAUGAUGCCCCAACAAAGAACAAUAUGCAUGUGAAAUAGAUUGUCUCAACCAAGGUGCAAAAUCAACUUGAAAAGAUUCAGAGAGAUUUCCUUUGGGGUGAUGAUGCCUCGACAAAGAAGACAUUCUACUUACAUGGGACACAAUUUGCUCUGAUGAGAAUAGGAGUUCGGGUUUUAGGAGACUCUAGAAUAGGAGGAGAGUAGGUCCGGUGAUUAUAGAUAUUGUUUUAUUUACCAGACCUUAGCAUGCCUUGUAUGCUUCUCAAUACUAGAUGUGCCCUUUUUUCUAAGGUACCUAUUUAUAUAAAUACUUUAUAUUCCUAAUUUCCUUAAUUUGAUCUACUAUCCAACUGGAACUUCUUCAGUCCAACAUCUUCAAUUCCAAAAUCUAAGUGAACAACUUUCAUUUAAGACUAUAUUAAUAUGAAUAUAUUAAUUGCUGACAGUUGUUAUAGGUUAUAGAAAUUCUAAAAGAAAAGAUCUAUUCUGUUUCUGAUCAAAAAAUAAUUAAAGGAAAAAAAACAUACGCAGCAAGUCACUACAUAAAGCUCAUUUAAAACUUAAGGAUGUCAUUGGUACCUCAUAUAUUAAUGAUCCAAGGAACUUAUAUUACCACAGAAUUUAUAACCCACAUAACUCAAGGAGAAAGUUGUUGCAUAGACAAAAUUAUAGUACAAUCAUUUAAUAUCCCUCUAGAUGAACAAAUAUAUGUUACCAUAUUUUUUCCCAAUUUUUUAAAAUGAAAUUGUGUAAACAGAUUGUAUAAAUAACCAGACUUACAGCAUCUUAAUUCUAGUUCCAAUUUUCAAACUGCAUUUUCUUGGAGAAAUAACCAUACUGCACUGUAGUCAAACAAUUCCAGUAUAAUAUUUUCUUCAUAAUUGAACUUACAAAUUAUGACUCAAGCAGAGGUCAAUAAACUACAUGGGAUAUAUAUCGAAAUUAUGGACGAAACAACAUAUUAAAAAUAUGAUAAAACCAAGAAGCAUACAGAACUUACUCAUCAAUCCGUUGAUGCAUGAAUACAACCAAACGGUCUUCAUUAGUAACCUUUGGCAAACGAUAAGCAACCAGUCGAUCACCAUCUCUAAUCAAAGAUAAUGAAUCAGUUGGAUCCUCCAGAUAACGUAUAAUCCGGUUGUUAUAUAUCUGUAUAGAACUCCACAGCUUCAGAGCUCAAAAUGAAAAUUAUAGACACUAAUACACAAAGCAUAACCAGUCUAACCGCCGUCACAAGCAAAAGACUUUUGGAUUAACACAAUGGCUGCAAUAUACCUCAGCUACUAAUAGUGUCUCAUCAUCCUUUAAAUAACAUGAGCUGCUUAAAGCUUGAAUAAGAUCCUCGCACUUUCCAUUCUUGGGCACAGUAAUGGUGCAUGGGGAUGGCUGAGUAAUUCCAUCAGCACUCACAACUGUCAAAGUCAUUGUCCUCAUUGUUGUUGAAGGUAGAGGUAGAGACAGAUACAUGAAUGGAUCAAACGUAAUGGAGACCUUUUUGCAAACAGGACACACUAACGUUGACCUAUACUGUCCCUGUGGUUAAAAAUAAGCAUAACGCAUUUAGUCAAAAAUGUAAAGAAAAUUAUCCUGAAAAUUUGCAACAGCACCUAAUUUCAUCUUCGAAUUAACAUAUAUAUGUGUGUGUGUCUCUGUGUGAACUUAUAUUUACACAUGUAUAGGACAGUAGUCAGAUCUGAUCAAGAUAUACAUCUGAAUCCAAUGUAAUAAAAAAAUUCCAACACAAUCCAAUCUGAGAUUCUCAUAGAUGGUUAGAGUUACUUUUUGUUUGGUCAUAUAUAUGAUCUGAUGAUACAAACAAAAAGUUGUAGACAUGGCUGAAUGAUCAAAAUACGUCUUUAUGUUAGAAAAUGUGACUGCAUAAAUAUAUAAGGGUUGAUCCUAUCAAAUUGUUAUUGGUUUAAAUCAAGCUAUGUUUGAAUUUCAAUCAUUUAGUGCUCAUUUGGAUACACUUUUUGUUUCUAUUUUUAAAAAUAAAAAUAAAUAAUAACUUCUAUAUAAAACAUAAUAACUCAUAUAUAAAAAGUAUGGAAUUAUCUUAUGUCCUUAAAAAUUACUAUUUAAGAAUUUUAAAAUUUGAGAUAGUAAAAAAAGUUUUAAACAGUUUCUAAAAAUCAUUAUUUUUUUGAAGUCUCCAAGAGUUCUUAUAUUAAAUAUAGGAGUUACUACAAUUUUCUGCAUUUAGAAACAGAAAACAAGUGUAUCCAAAUGACACCUUAGUUAACUUGUUAUUAGAGCAUUGCACAAAUGCUACCACAAGUUGACAAUCACUAAUCAUGGCCUAAUACAUCAGCAGGCCUACAGCCAUACACACUACAAAACUCAUAGAAUUGAAAUCCUAGUAUAACUGAAUUCAUUGAAAAUUUUAAGUCUUCUAACAAACAAGUCACAAGAUCAACAAUCUGAUGCCAUUUUCUAUCCAAGGCUUUAACGUCACCAAUUAAAACUACAAGCACUCAAUGAAGUCCAACAAACUCAUAAAAGCUUUAGAGUUCAAAAAACUUCACAAACCAGAACCUUAAGCCUAGGUACUAGAGUUUAAAAAGAUAGCUUUGGCUUUUUUUUUUUUUAGUGAGAUUAACAUCCUGAGGUCUUGGAAGUCCAUCAUUAUCAUGUGUUUUGCACUGAUGUUCUUGCAAUUUUGCAGGUUCAGAGAAAAAAUACAGAGGGAACUUUAACAAAAUGGUACUCACCUGAGACACAUCAACAAUGAUAGAGUCAUUGCGAGCCAAAUGAUUCCUCCAAUACUCAUCAGCCACUUCUUCAUCUGGCCAACCCUCUCCAUCCUUAGCUUCAAUAUAGGGCUUGCAUUUUACGCGAUUGAGAUCUUCAUGUAGCCCAUCCAAUAGAAAAGCAAGGAGCUCCUACCAUGAAAAAUCCAUAAAUGUCAAGAGAUUUGUUUUUUUUUUUUUUUUUUUUUUUUUUUUUUUUUUUUUUUGACAACCAAGGAACCUUCCAUGGUACCCUUUGGACUCCUCAUGAGGACCUAGACCUCAGGGCGUUGACCCCACCCACCAUUCUUUGAUAAAACUUCAAAAGAAUAAUAAUAAUUAUCAAGGAAAAUGAGCGACCUCACACCCCCCAACCUCAAAGAAAAGAAAUGAAAAUUAAAAAAGCUUUUCUCAGAGCAGCAAGAAAACCUUA